rnacentral:lncRNA from 1 species
AGAGAUUGUCUAUUGGUUCUGUAGCAUAAAUGAAUUCUGUACCUUUGGUCACCAUCAAAAUUAGUCCUAACACCCAAGUGGUGGGAAGGCUAGUGGGAUGGCAUGCCUGGUAUCUGGGUCAUCUCGGGAAGACUGCGAGCCUUGCCUUCCCUCUCUCAGUUCAGCCUCCUCCCUGGUGCCCCCGCAGCCCCUUCCAUCACUGUGCCCAACGGGGCCGUUCGGUAACGUGCAUCAUACUAAAGCCGACCACGCAGGGGAAGGUAGCGCUGCUCAGGGAAGAG